GCUUGCUUUGGCAACACAUAUACUAAAACUGGAAUACAGAGAAGAUUAGCAUGGCCCCUGCGCAGGAUGACAUGCAGAUUUGUGAUGCAUUCCACUUUUUU
ensembl:snRNA U6 U6 spliceosomal RNA